rnacentral:rRNA from 1 species
UACGGAGGGAGCUAGCGUUGUUCGGAAUUACUGGGCGUAAAGCGCACGUAGGCGGCUUUGUAAGUUAGAGGUGAAAGCCCGGGGCUCAACUCCGGAACUGCCUUUAAGACUGCAUCGCUUGAAUCCAGGAGAGGUGAGUGGAAUUCCGAGUGUAGAGGUGAAAUUCGUAGAUAUUCGGAAGAACACCAGUGGCGAAGGCGGCUACCUGGACCGGUUCUGACGCUGAGGCGCGAAAGCGUGGGUAGCAAACAGG